GCAUAUCAAUAAGCGGAGGAAAAGAAACCAACAGGGUAUUGCCCUAGUAACGGCGAGUGAAGCGGCAACAGCUCAAAUUUGAAAUCUGGCCUCGGCCCGAGUUGUAAUUUGCAGAGGAUGCUUCUGGCGCGGUGCCUUCCGAGUUCCCUGGAACGGGACGCCACAGAGGGUGAGAGCCCCGUAUGGUCGGACACCAAGCCUGUGUGAAGCUCCUUCGACGAGUCGAGUAGUUUGGGAAUGCUGCUCUAAAUGGGAGGUAAAUCUCUUCUAAAGCUAAAUACCGGCCAGAGACCGAUAGCGCACAAGUAGAGUGAUCGAAAGAUGAAAAGCACCUUGAAAAGGGGGUUAAAUAGUACGUGAAAUUGUUGAAAGGGAAGCACUUGUGACCAGACUUGGGCCGGGCGGCUCAUCAGGGGUUCUCCCCUGUGCACUCCGCCCGGCACAGGCCAGCAUCGGUUCUCGUGGGGGGAUAAGACCGUCAGGAACGUAGCACCCUCCGGGGUGUGUUAUAGCCUGGCGGACGAUACCCCCGUGGGGACCGAGGUUCGCGCUCCGCAAGGAUGCUGGCGUAAUGGUCACCAGUGACCCGUCUUGAAACACGGACC
rnacentral:rRNA from 1 species